UGGGGAAUUUUGGACAAUGGGCGAAAGCCUGAUCCAGCAAUGCCGCGUGUGUGAAGAAGGCCUUCGGGUUGUAAAGCACUUUUGUCCGGAAAGAAAUCCUUGGCUCUAAUACAGUCGGGGGAUGACGGUACCGGAAGAAUAAGCACCGGCUAACUACGUGCCAGCAGCCGCGGUAAUACGUAGGGUGCAAGCGUUAAUCGGAAUUACUGGGCGUAAAGCGUGCGCAGGCGGUUUGCUAAGACCGAUGUGAAAUCCCCGGGCUCAACCUGGGAACUGCAUUGGUGACUGGCAGGCUAGAGUAUGGCAGAGGGGGGUAGAAUUCCACGUGUAGCAAGUGAAAUGCGUAGAGAUGUGGAGGAAUACCGAUGGCGAAGGCAGCCCCCUGGGCCAAAUACUGACGCUCAUGCACGAAAGCGUGGGGGAGCAAACAGGAUUAGAUACCCUGGUAGUCCACGCCCUAAAACGAUGUCAACUAGUUGUUGGGGAUUCAUUUCCUUAGUAACGUAGCUAACGCGUGAAGUUGACCGCCUGGGGAGUACGGUCGCAAGAUUAAAACUC
rnacentral:rRNA from 1 species